GCUUCCUUAGCGUAGUUGGUUUAUCGCAUCCGUCUAAUAUGACAGUGCCUGAUGAGUCCAUCAGAUCACCCCUACAACGGAAGGUCACUAGUUCGAGCCUAGUAGGGAGCA